rnacentral:rRNA from 1 species
GACGAACGCUGGCGGCGUGCUUAACACAUGCAAGUCGAACGGAAAGGCCCUGCUUUUGUGGGGUGCUCGAGUGGCGAACGGGUGAGUAACACGUGAGUAACCUGCCCUUGACUUUGGGAUAACUUCAGGAAACUGGGGCUAAUACCGGAUAGGGGCUCCUGCUGCAUGGUGGGGGUUGGAAAGUUUCGGCGGUUGGGGAUGGACUCGCGGCUUAUCAGCUUGUUGGUGGGGUAGUGGCUUACCAAGGCUUUGACGGGUAGCCGGCCUGAGAGGGUGACCGGCCACAUUGGGACUGAGAUACGGCCCAGACUCCUACGGGAGGCGGCAGUGGGGAAUAUUGCACAAUGGGCGGAAGCCUGAUGCAGCAACGCCGCGUGCGGGAUGACGGCCUUCGGGUUGUAAACCGCUUUCGCCUGUGACGAAGCGUGAGUGACGGUAAUGGGUAAAGAAGCACCGGCUAACUACGUG